rnacentral:rRNA from 1 species
UACGUAGGGGGCAAGCGUUGUCCGGAAUCAUUGGGCGUAAAGAGCGUGUAGGCGGUCCGGUAAGUCGGCUGUGAAAGUCCAGGGCUCAACCCUCGAAUGCCGGUGGAUACUGUCGGGCUAGAGUGCGGAAGAGGCGAGUGGAAUUCCUGGUGUAGCGGUGAAAUGCGCAGAUAUCAGGAGGAACACCAAUUGCGAAGGCAGCUCGCUGGGACGUAACUGACGCUGAAACGCGAAAGCGUGGGGAGCAAACAGG